CAGGCUUAACACAUGCAAGUCGAGGGGCAGCGCGAGGUAGCAAUACUUUGGCGGCGACCGGCGGAAGGGUGCGUAACGCGUGAGCAACAUGCCCGUAUGAGGGGGAUAAGCGAUGGAAACGUCGUCUAAUACCCCGUAACACAGGAGAUCGCAUGAUCAUCUGUUGAAAGAUUUAUCGCAUACGGAUUGGCUCGCGUGACAUUAGCUAGUCGGCGGGGUAACGGCCCACCGAGGCGACGAUGUCUAGGGGUUCUGAGAGGAAGGUCCCCCACACUGGAACUGAGACACGGUCCAGACUCCUACGGGAGGCAGCAGUGAGGAAUAUUGGUCAAUGGGCGGAAGCCUGAACCAGCCAUGCCGCGUGAAGGAAUAAGGCCCUAUGGGUCGUAAACUUCUUUUGACGGGGAGCAAUAAGGGUCACGUGUGGCCCGAUGAGAGUACUCGUCGAAUAAGCAUCGGCUAACUCCGUGCCAGCAGCCGCGGUAAUACGGAGGAUGCAAGCGUUAUCCGGAUUUAUUGGGUUUAAAGGGUGCGUACGCGGACGUGUAAGUCAGGGGUGAAAUACCGGGGCUCAACCUCGGAACUGCCUUUGAUACUGCAUGUCUGGAGUUCGGAUGCCGUGGGAGGAAUGGGCAGUGUAGCGGUGAAAUGCAUAGAUAUUGCCCAGAACACCGAUUGCGAAGGCAUCUCACGAAUCCGACACUGACGCUGAGGCAC
rnacentral:rRNA from 1 species